rnacentral:rRNA from 1 species
UACGUAGGGUGCGAGCGUUAAUCGGAAUUACUGGGCGUAAAGCGUGCGCAGGCGGUGAUGUAAGACCGAUGUGAAAUCCCCGGGCUUAACCUGGGAACUGCAUUGGUGACUGCAUCGCUCGAGUAUGGCAGAGGGGGGUAGAAUUCCACGUGUAGCAGUGAAAUGCGUAGAGAUGUGGAGGGAAUACCGAUGGCGAAGGCAGCCCCCUGGGUCAAUACUGACGCUCAUGCACGAAAGCGUGGGGAGCAAACAGG